CAGUGUAUUAUUGGUAUUCUGUAUGUAUCUCAGAUUCUAUAUUUCUUGGUUCAGUCCUGGCAUAUCCCUAUUUCCGGCAUCUCGCGUUCUCUCCUCCAUCAGGGAAUAGGUUGCUGGAUGGUGUUGGUUGUAGCAAGGGAAUAUGCUGAAAUGGACAUUCUAUUGUUGAGGUCUUAGAACUGAUUUGGUGAAAGCAUGUGGAAUUUCUCCCAAUUUAUUGCCUCCAAGGACAAAGAUUUUUGGGGCUGGUUCUUACUCAUAUUUGGCUCUGUUUUCUUUGUGGGUUUCUUCUAUGCUGCAAUUAUAUUGAAGUUUCUUCCACCAUCUGAUAAUGCUCUCAUAUCUGCUAUACAGACGGACAGGUAUUACUGCUUCUUGGUGCCCUUGACAAUUCCUAUUCUUCUUGUUGCUGUAUAUUUUCAUUGGCUGAGUAUGAAAUUUUUCAAGCAUGCAUGAUUUUAUAUUCACAAGGUCAAAGACUGUCUGCUAUGAGUGUGUUUGAUAUAUGGUUUCAUAAUGUAUUUAUCUUUGCACAUUUUGUAUUGGAUUUUCUUUCAAUGAUAGUGACUUGUUGGGAUAGAUCUUAUACACGUGGAGAAAGAAGCUGGGGGCAAAAUUGUAAUUGUA